rnacentral:rRNA from 1 species
UACAGGGGGGGGCAAGCGUUGUUCGGAAUUACUGGGCGUAAAGGGUCUGUAGGUGGCUUGCUAAGUCAGACGUGAAAUCCCUCAGCUUAACUGGGGAACUGCGUCUGAUACUGGUGAGCUUGAGUGCAGGAGAGGAACGCGGAAUUCCAGGUGUAGCGGUGAAAUGCGUAGAUAUCAGGAGGAAUACCGGUGGCGAAAGCGACUCUCUGGACGGUUACUGACGCUCAUGUGCGAAAGCGUGGGGAGCAAACAGG